ACUUUCACCGGUUUUACCUUUUCCUUUACCAAAUAUUUUUUCAUAGAAAAUGCCAUAUUAAUUAUAAUUAUGCAAACUAAACCACACAAAAAUAUAUUAUUAAAACGUAAGAGUUGAAACGAGUUUACCGGAUUGCCGAACAACUUCUUGAAAAUUAAAAAUCGUUUAACACUUGAAAACUUCAAUUCAACAAUUUCACAAAUUUUCACGAAUUUU
rnacentral:lncRNA from 1 species